GUGAGGAAUAUUGGUCAAUGGACGAGAGUCUGAACCAGCCAAGUCGCGUGCAGGAAGAAUGUCCUAUGGAUUGUAAACUGCUUUUGCAGGGGAAUAAAGUGCAUCACGUGUGAUGUUUUGUAUGUACUCUGCGAAUAAGGAUCGGCUAACUCCGUGCCAGCAGCCGCGGUAAUACGGAGGAUCCGAGCGUUAUCCGGAUUUAUUGGGUUUAAAGGGUGCGUAGGCGGGAUAAUAAGUCAGUGGUGAAAGUUUGCAGCUUAACUGUAAAAUUGCCGUUGAAACUGUUAUUCUUGAGAGUAGAUAAGGUAGGCGGAAUGUGUUGUGUAGCGGUGAAAUGCAUAGAUAUAACACAGAACCCCGAUUGCGAAGGCAGCUUACCGGGCUACAUCUGACGCUGAUGCACGAAAGCGUGGGGAUCAAACAGGAUUAGAAACCCUAGUAGUCC
rnacentral:rRNA from 1 species